rnacentral:rRNA from 1 species
CCUACGGGUGGCUGCAGUGGGGAAUAUUGGGCAAUGGGCGCAAGCCUGACCCAGCAACGCCGCGUGAAGGAAGAAGGCUCUCGGGUUGUAAACUUCUUUUUUCAGGGACGAAGCAAGUGACGGUACCUGACGAAUAAGCCACGGCUAACUACGUGCCUGCAGCCGCUGUGAUCCGGAGGUGGCAAGCGUUCUCCGGAUUUAGUGGGUGUAAAGGGCGUGUAGGCGGGAAUGCAAGUCAGAUGUGAAAACUAUGGGCUCAACCCAUAGCCUGCAUUUGAAACUGUAUGUCUUGAGUGCUGGAGAGGCAAGCGGAAUUCCGGGUGUAGCGGUGAAAUGCGUAGAUAUACGGAGGAACACCAGUGGCGAAGGCGGAUUGCUGGACAGCAACUGACGCUGAGGCGCGAAAGCGUGGGGAGCAAACAGGAUUAGAUACCCCGGUAGUC